rnacentral:rRNA from 1 species
CCCUUAGAUGUUCUGGGCCGCACGCGCGCUACACUGACUACUUCAACGAGUUGUUUCCUUGAUCGAAAGGUCUGGGUAAUCUUUGAAAGGUAGUCGUGAUGGGGAUAGAUCUUUGCAAUUAUUAAUCUUCAACGAGGAAUUCCUAGUAAGUGCAAGUCAUCAGCUUGCGCUGAUUACGUCCCUGCCCUUUGUACACACCGCCCGUCGCUCCUACCGAUUGGAUGAUCCGGUGAAUAAUUCGGACUGCGAUGUUGCUCGGUUCCCGAGCUUCGUUGCGGGAAGUUUAGUGAACCUUAUCAUCUAGAGGAAGGAGAAGUCGUAACA